UACGAAGGGGGCUAGCGUUGUUCGGAAUUACUGGGCGUAAAGCGCGCGCAGGCGGCUCUUCAAGUCAGGGGUGAAAGCCCAGAGCUCAACUCUGGAACUGCCUUUGAGACUGAAGAGCUUGAGUACGGGGAGAGGUGAGUGGAAUUCCCAGUGUAGAGGUGAAAUUCGUAGAUAUUGGGAAGAACACCGGUGGCGAAGGCGGCUCACUGGCCCGUUACUGACGCUCAGGCGCGACAGCGUGGGGAUCAAACAGG
rnacentral:rRNA from 1 species